UUUUUUUUUUUUUUUUUUUUUUUUUUCCUUGUGUGUUCCCCCUGAUUCACCUGUUGCAUGAAGGAAGCAGCCAGUGCUCGCUCUUCUCCUUAUUUCCCCCUGACUGCCGGGGGACAGAGCUGACACAAUUGCUUUUGCCAGUCCCAGGGGACAUUUUCCCGGCUAGCCCCAUGCACAUCCCUGCUGUGCCUCUCCAAGGGCACCCAAAACCCGGCGCUGGUCACAGGCCCACAUGCAGAGGUGAACUCAGUGCUCUGGCCUUGCCAGAGGCAGAAAGCAUCCCUUCCCUCCAUGAGCCCUCUUUGCCUUGACCCAUUGCACUCCCUUUCUCUGCUUUACUUCCUGUGACAAAUUUGCUGUGCCUGGUCUGUGGAAAGCAGCUGGAAGAGUUUCAUGCCUGUACUGUUUUUCUCCUUUAUACAGCUCAGCAGGCUUGGAUCCAUUCAAAUCUCCCUUUUCUUUAUUUUUUUCAUCUUUUCAGUGCGGCUUCCUACAAUUUCAGCUUUCUGGCUGACUCGAGGCUUGAAAUCUGUCUUUCCUCUUUCCUGUGCUUCCUUCUGCAGUAACUCUUCGUGUGCCAUGGCCUUACUUUCCACAGGCAUGCGGAGGUCUGGUAUGAAUACCAUAGUGGAAAGCUGCUUGCACCCAGAGCCAUAUGUAAGGAAUCUCACAGUGAAAAGUUUUCAGGACACAAUGCAAGCUGUGCUGGCUCCAUCCUGCAGACAGAAUCACAGAAUAUACUGAGUUGGAAGGGACCCCCAGGGAUCAUCGAGUCCAGCUCCUGAGCCUGCACAGCACCAUCCCCAAGAACCACACCAUGCGUGUGUGAGCAUUGUGGAAAUGCUUCGUGGUCUCUGUCAGGCUGGUGCUGUGACCAUUUCAUUGGGGAGCUGUUCCAGUGUCCAACCAUGAAGAAGCAUUUCCUAAUAUCCAACCUGAACCGCCUCUGACACAACUUCAGGCUAUCCCCUCAGAUCCUGUCACUGGUUACCACAAGGAAGAGAUCAGCGCCUGCCUCUGCUUUUCUCCUCAUGAGAAACUUGGAAACUGCAAGGUCUCCCCUCCGUCUCCUCCAGGCAAAACAGACCAAAAGACUUCAGCUGCUCUUCAUAUGGCUUCUCCUCCAGGCCCUUAAAUCCAGAGCCUGGGAGGCUAGAGGUUUGGGCAGGGCACCGCAAACCAACCAGAAACAAUGCCAUUAUUCUAUGAUUCCAGUUUUUAAACAACUCUCGUGUCCUUUGGUGUGCUCCUGAUGAAGUUCUGAAAGGACAACAUGUAGUAGACUGGAGAUGAGACCAUUACUGCUGCUGGUUAUUUUUGCUGGAAAUGGCUGUUGCUAUUUUUCAGUCUCAUUAACUUAGCAGUUUCUGGAAAACAGAAAAUCAGUGCUUUCUCUUGACCCUUCAAAACACAACCUGAGCUUUAGGAAACCUGUUGCUGGAGAGCUCUGGAUCCACAGACCUGCCCCUACUGCUGGGACCACUGAGAAAGCACCGCUGGCUGCAGGGUGGCCGUGCCCCCAGGCACUGAAGGACAUGAGCCCUGGUGCCUGGGCACAGUCUGCAAGAGCUCCAGGGAAGCAAUCUUCUGCAAAGCAGUUGGAGCCAAACACUGCUCAGGUUGCAGAGCUAUAAUAAAAGACCUCCAGAUUGUUUUGGGGUGAGUGAAUGAACACCACUGCCUCUGAACUAAAUGCUACUUUUAAGAGGCUCAGUAGAGUUGGAGCAUUCUAUAACCCAAAUCUGAACAUUGUUUCUCCUCAUCCAUCUGCACAAAGAGAGUGGCCUUCCCCAUUUUUGUAAACAAGGCUGCAACCUUUAUUCCUGCCUUGAGGAACAGAUUGAAUUGCUUUUGGUGAUCCAGAACAAUGUCAUCCUUUAUUCCCUCUUCAAAAGCAAUUAGGAUUUCAGCUUGAUUAUUUGCAGAUAAUAUGAGUCACCAGAUAAAACAUACUGAAUACAAAAUGCUCCUUUGGAGGGAAAGAGAUAAAUGGUAUUUAAGGUUAAAAAUCCAGCAUAUGCUUAAAUAUCACAAAACUGUCACACAUCAAGGAAAAAAAUUCAGUCCCACUUCGUGAAACAGAAAGAUUGAUCCUGUGUUUGUUUAACCCCAAACCCUGAAUUAAUUUGUUGCAGGAUAAGGGCAUCAUGACACCAAAGGCAGAUUGUGUCACUGUCACAGCACAAGAACAAGUUUGGUGCAACACGAUUUCAGAGUUGUCAAACUAUCCAAAAUUUCAGCCCAAAUAUGUCAUUUGACCUUAAAAAAAGAUUGGAAUUGUUGUCUUCUCUUAUUUCUUUUCUGAUUUCUAGCUUGGUGUAUUACAGCUCGUUGAUAUUUUCAGUUCUUUUACCCAGAAAACCAAGGCUAGAAGCUGACUCAUUCUUAAUAGAAGGUACAAAUCUCACAGGAGCAGCAUUAUUUCAGGAACUCACAUUUUAAUGGGAACAUCAAGUCUAUCUGGCAUUAUGAUAAAAUUAUCAGAAAUUAGCGAUACUGAAGGUUUAUCCUGGGUUUUCUUCUAACAGAGAUGAUAGCUGAUGUAUCCUUUCUCUGUACUGAUGUUGCCAACUAGCUUCAUUGGCAGACUUUGAAGUAUAUAUAGAAAUGGAGUUUUGUGAAAAUUUAAACCAAAAAUAAAGUUUGAUUUUCUUUUCUCUUCUUCUGAAAAGAAAAUUAAUGUCUGAGAAUUUUCAUAUACAACAUCUCAAAAGGGUGCACAUGUUUUCAUUUCAAUCUUUCCCUAGAUUGGUUGGUUUUGUAGGAGCUGGAAAAGCCAUGAACUGUCAGGCUUUGCUGGAAGGAUUCUUCCGUCCCCCUGGGAUGUACAUCACUGUGUGCAGAACUGCUGUGGCAUUCUACAGAGUGUUUAAUAUUUACAUUAGUUUUUUAGCAUUGAUACAAGAUUAUUUUCCUAUCUAAAUUACUAACAUCUGAUACCUGUACUGUCACAUCCCCAAAAAUAAACUUUUUAAAAUAAAGGA